rnacentral:rRNA from 1 species
AGAGUUUGAUCCUGGCUCAGGACGAACGCUGGCGGCGUGCUUAACACAUGCAAGUCGAGCGACAGCACUCUUCGGGGUGUAUGGAGCGGCGAACGGGUGAGUAACACGUGGGCAACCUGCCCUCAGCUCUGGGAUAACUCCGGGAAACCGGGGCUAAUACCGGAUAUGACCAUCCCUGGCAUCUGGGGUGGUGGAAAGUUCUUCGGCUGAGGAUGGGCCCGCGGCCUAUCAGCUUGUUGGUGGGGUUACGGCCCACCAAGGCGACGACGGGUAGCCGGCCUGAGAGGGCGACCGGCCACACUGGGACUGAGACACGGCCCAGACUCCUACGGGAGGCAGCAGUGGGGAAUAUUGCGCAAUGGGCGAAAGCCUGACGCAGCGACGCCGCGUGAGGGAUGAAGGCCUUCGGGUUGUAAACCUCUUUCAGCAGGGACGAAGCGAGAGUGACGGUACCUGCAGAAGAAGCACCGGCCAACUACGUGCCAGCAGCCGCGGUAAUACGUAGGGUGCAAGCGUUGUCCGGAAUUAUUGGGCGUAAAGAGCUCGUAGGCGGUCUGUCGCGUCGGCUGUGAAAACUCGGGGCUCAACCCCGAGCCUGCAGUCGAUACGGGCAGACUAGAGUGCUGUAGGGGAGACUGGAAUUCCUGGUGUAGCGGUGAAAUGCGCAGAUAUCAGGAGGAACACCGGUGGCGAAGGCGGGUCUCUGGGCAGUAACUGACGCUGAGGAGCGAAAGCGUGGGGAGCAAACAGGAUUAGAUACCCCAGUAGUCC